UACAGGGGGUGCAAACGUUGCUCGGAAUCAUUGGGCGUAAAGCGCACGUAGGCGGUUUGUUAUGUCGGAUGUGAAAGCCCUUGGCUCAACUGAGGAAGUGCAUCCGAAACUGGCAAGCUAGAGUACUAAAGAGGGUCGCGGAAUUCCCGGUGUAGAGGUGAAAUUCGUAGAUAUUCGGAGGAACACCAGUGGCGAAGGCGGCUCACUGGUCCGGUACUGACGCUGAGGUGCGAAAGCGUGGGGAGCAAACAGG
rnacentral:rRNA from 1 species